GCGGGGGUAGCAAAGUCUGGUCAAAUGCGCAGGACUUAAGAUCCUGUCUCUUAGUGAGUCCGUGGGUUCGAAUCCCAUCCCCCGCA
rnacentral:tRNA from 1 species